UUCUUAUCCAGAGCGGUGGAGGGAAAGGCCCGAAGAAGCCCGGCAACCAGCGAGGGAGAAAACCGAGCAUGGUGCCAACUCCUUCUGCACCAAGUCUGGUGCAGGAAGAUAAGAA
rnacentral:ncRNA from 23 species